rnacentral:rRNA from 1 species
UCGGGAUAUUGGGCGUAAGGGCUCGCAGGCGGUUUCUUAAGUCUGAUGUGAAAGCCCCCGGCUCAACCGGGGAGGGUCAUUGGAAACUGGGAAACUUGAGUGCAGAAGAGGAGAGUGGAAUUCCAUGUGUAGCGGUGAAAUGCGUAGAGAUGUGGAGGAACACCAGUGGCGAAGGCGACUCUCUGGUCUGUAACUGACGCUGAUGUGCGAAAGCGUGGGGAGCGAACAGGAUUAGAUACCCUGGUAGUCCACGCCGUAAACGAUGAGUGCUAAGUGUUAGGGGGUUUCCGCCCCUUAAUGCUGCAGCUAACGCAUUAAGCACUCCGCCUGGGGAAUACA